ACUCAAAGGAAUAGACGGGGGCCCGCACAAGCGGUGGAGCAUGUGGUUUAAUUCGAGGCAACGCGAAGAACCUUACCAAGGCUUGACAUCCCAUUUGAGCAUUUAGAGAUAAGUGCGCCCUUCGGGGGAAUGGAGACAGGUGGUGCAUGGUUGUCGUCAGCUCGUGCCGUGAGGUGUUGGGUUAAGUCCCGCAACGAGCGCAACCCCUACCUUUAGUAGCUAACAUUAAGUUGAGCACUUUAGAGGGACUGCCGUGGAUAACACGGAGGAAGGCGGGGAUGAUGUCAAAUCAUCAUGCUCCUUAUGUCUUGGGCUACACACGUGCUACAAUGGCCGCCACAAAGCGAAGCGACCCUGUGAGGGUGAGCAAAGCGCAUAAAAGCGGCCCCAGUUCGGAUUGCAGUCUGCAACUCGACUGCAUGAAGUUGGAAUCGCUAGUAAUCGCGAAUCAGCAUGUCGCGGUGAAUACGUUCCCGGGCCUUGUACACACCGCCCGU
rnacentral:rRNA from 1 species